UACGGAGGGGGCUAGCGUUGUUCGGAAUUACUGGGCGUAAAGCGCGCGUAGGCGGACCUGCAAGUCGGGGGUGAAAGCCCGAGGCUCAACCUCGGAACUGCCUUCGAUACUGCGGGUCUCGAGUCCGGGAGAGGUGAGUGGAAUUCCUAGUGUAGAGGUGAAAUUCGUGAGAUAUUAGGAAGAACACCAGUGGCGAAGGCGGCUGCCUGGCCCAAUACUGACACUCAGGUGCGACAGCGUGGGGAGCAAACAGG
rnacentral:rRNA from 1 species